UCAACACAGCAGGGCCUGAUGGAGCCCAGGUGCUGAUGGGACAUUUCCAAGGCUUGUGCAAGCAAGUGUCCAUAGUGACAGAGGCUGGCCUAAUGGAACACUUUUACCCAACAAUCUCAUGGAACCAAGUGUCCACUGUUUCACAGAGCAACCUCAUAAAGUGGCAUUUGGCUCUGGCAGUGGGGAUUGCUGAUGGUUGCUGCAGGAAAAAGGAGAUGACUGUGACACUUUGUGGCACAUGGAAACAAGGAAAGUCCUAUGACACUGUGGGGCCCCAUGGAACCAAAUAUCCAUUGUGACGCUAAAGAACCUCAGACAACCAAAGAAACUCCUGUGACACUGUGGGGCCCAUGGAACCAAAGGGCUGACACGUGGAAAUAGAAAUUCCACAACCAUUAGGUCAGUGAAGUAGGUAUGUUUGUUUAUUCAGCACUGGACACAUGAGGAAUCACUUCAUCAAAGACCACUCCCAAGAUGAGCCACAGAUGCCCCUUGGUAUGUAGUGGAGCAUCAUGAAAGCCAAGAGACCCUCAUGGAGCCAAGGCUGCAGUGUGUCAGAGAGGAACCUUGUGGAAGCCAGGAGGGCAGUGUGAGGCUAUGGAACAAUAUGGCACCAAGGUUUCACUGGGACUUGACAGAACCUCACGGAAGCAAGGAAGCAUUGUGAGCCUCCAGAAUCAGCGUCUGCAGGAGGAUUUUCUGCUCCCUCCUGGGAUUUUGGUGGACAAUAAAGCCUGAGACAGUC